GGAUCUGCAGCACAGUUGCACUGGCUGCAGAAUCCUUCCUUGUUAGUCUGGUGUUGCUGCGCCACGGUGCGCAUUAGAUUCGGCAAUAAAGCCUCAUCCGGGUUCACCGCUGUCCGCUGUCGAGGAUACGCGUGGCGCCCAUACGGCCCCGCGUUAUAUGGUCGCAGAUCAUGGUUGCGAGCCAGGCCGUGCGCGCUGCCCGCGCGCACGGCUCCUCUGAUUAUUUGAGCCAAUUUAACCCCCACGUGUGGAGCUACAAAUGCCCCCCCCCAUUCCCGCGGGACGGACGCCUCCCCGCGACGGAUGCUUCCCAAACUGGACGGAGAUGCCGCGGAGCGAGAAACGCCUCCUGCGAUGCCGUGGAGCGAGAAUUGCCUCCUGCGAUGCCGACGGCGAACGCGACCCGGACCAGCGGGAAACCAGAACGGAUACACCGCCAACAGCAGCACCAACUCCGAUCCCAACGGCACGGAUCGACCACCAGCACCACGCCGAAGAAUUCCCCCACCAAAACACUGCCCGAACUUCCUGGGACGGCGACCUCCCCCCGGACGGAGCAGUGGAUUUCACCGCGGAUUUGCGUGUUUUAUUUUUUUUGCAGGGGUCACGGGCCACAUAGACCCCAAACCCCUGCCCAAAUUUCCCCAGAACGUGACCUUUCCCCUGCUGAAGAAACCACGGAAUUUACCCGUUUCCGGGUUGGACCCUGGAUCUGGCGCGACAGUGCGAGGAUACGCGGGGCGCCCAUACGGCCCCGCGUUAUAUGUGUGAAUAUGGCAAAAAUACACCGAUGAAGAUACGAUGAAAACACCUGUAUGCGCUAACCGGUGCCGUUGGGGCAGAUGUAGGAGAACAUGAAGUUGUUGGCCUCGCAGCGGCGGAAGACCUGGCAGCGCGUCUCGGGAUCGGCGUAGUAGCCGAACUGUCUGACCUGCGUGCAGCUGAAGGAGGUCUGCGGGAUGUAGCUGUAGGUGGUACGACUGGCCGGGGUAGGCGCCCGCCAGCACCUGCCGUUUCACCACCUGCAAUGCCACGUUCGCUUAAUUAUACCACUGCGCAGGAAACGCGGGAUGCCGUCCGUGGUGGCAGUGCGUUCACUGCGAAUUGCCGGUCAGGUCAGUCUGCGUGGACGUUGUUGUGUUGCGCCGGAGCGGGGGAAAUGCCGGUUGAUGGAGGGAAUGAGAAUGUGGAUUGGGGGCAGGCGUAAACAAUGCAGUAAAGUUGUACAAUAAUAAUCGAACGGGAUCAGCGGAUCCAGAAUUCCACGGAAGGGAAUUACAGGUGAAGCAUGAUAACGCUGCGGUGCGCUGCGGUGAAGUAUCUCAGCACUUCUGGUGGGAUAUAGAUGGACUUCGGUACUUCCGGUUGAGCCUGACAAAUAAUCUUCAAUAUGCCAGUUGGCCAGGGCGUGCAGUCCGCAUUAUCGCUGGGAACAUAUAUAUAACUCCGAUGGCACGUACAGGAUGCGCAUAAGGAUAUGCAGGAUCAAACAUUGAAUAUAACUGAUGUCGCUAGAUGGAGUGAUUGCUGAGGAUGGCCGCGUGUAAGAUGGAGUGGAGCGCAUAAGACUGAUGCUGGUCGAGGAUCGAGGAAGCGUUAAAUAUGCUUAAAUGCGCCGGCAUAAUACGCGCUAGUACUGAUGCCACAGCGGCUGUGUGUUAAAUUUUUGAUUCCUGAGUAGCGGCCAGAAUAAUUAAUUAAUGCCAUAUUAAAAUUAGAUAAUUAAUGCCGGGGAAAGCCGGUCGCACGGGAGGGCUAAACUGUGCAGACGGGACAUUCGCCGCAGCUGCGGUGUCUGCUGCGACUGCGACGUCGGCCUUCGCUUAUCGGCUAAACGACCGACAAGUCGUCAGGCAGUUCCACAAGACAAGUCGCAGCUAUUGGGCCUAUUGAGCGGAUAACUUUGCAAACUUAUUGCCAGUAUUUUGCAGAUUAAAUGUUGGUAAUUUAUUUGCUUAACUGUGUCAUUUAUUACGGAAUACUCUCAUGGUUGGCCGUCGGCGGUUGGAUCAGUUACGGUGGUUUACAAUGACCUUUCUCAUGAAAUGUGCAGCAACUAGUAAGCGAGCAUUUGCAGCCGUUAAGUCAAUGGUCCCCCACUUUAAU